rnacentral:rRNA from 1 species
AGUGAACGCUGGCGGUAGGCCUAACACAUGCAAGUCGAACGGCAGCACAGUAAGAGCUUGCUCUUACGGGUGGCGAGUGGCGGACGGGUGAGGAAUACAUCGGAAUCUACUUUUUCGUGGGGGAUAACGUAGGGAAACUUACGCUAAUACCGCAUACGACCUACGGGUGAAAGCAGGGGAUCUUCGGACCUUGCGCGAUUGAAUGAGCCGAUGUCGGAUUAGCUAGUUGGCGGGGUAAAGGCCCACCAAGGCGACGAUCCGUAGCUGGUCUGAGAGGAUGAUCAGCCACACUGGAACUGAGACACGGUCCAGACUCCUACGGGAGGCAGCAGUGGGGAAUAUCGGGCAAAGGGCGCAAGCCUGAUCCAGCCAUACCGCGUGGGUGAAGAAGGCCUUCGGGUUGUAAAGCCCUUUUGUUGGGAAAGAAAAGCAGCAGGUUAAUACCCCGCUGUUCUGACGGUACCCAAAGAAUAAGCACCGGCUAACUUCGUG